AAUUUAAAGUCUAAUCUGCCCACUGAUUAAGAAGAAAAUUAAAGGGCUGCAGUAUAUUGAUUGUACAAAGGUAGCAUAAUCAUUAGUCUUUUAAUUGGGGACUUGUAUGAAAGAUUUGAUGAAAUAUAAACUGUCUCUAAAUUAUUAAUAAAAAUUAAUUUUUUAGUUAAAAAGCUAAAAUUUAUUUAAAAGACGAGAAGACCCUAUAGAGUUUUAUAAUAAUGAUAAUUAAAAUUAAAUAUUUAAUUAUAAAUUAAAAUUAUUAUUAUUAUUUUGUUGGGGUGAUAGAAAAAUUAAAAAAACUUUUUUUUUAUGAAUCAUAAAUAAGUGAGUUAUUGAUCCAUUAAUAAUGAUUAUAAGAAAAAAUUACCUUAGGGAUAACAGCGUAAUUUUUUUUUUAGUACAAAUAAAAAAAAAGGUUGCGACCUCGAUGUUGGAUUAAGAUAAAAAUUAAAUGCAAAAGUUUAAAAUUUUGAUCUGUUCGAUCAUUAAAAUCUUACAUG
rnacentral:rRNA from 1 species